rnacentral:lncRNA from 14 species
AAAAUAUUGAUUUAAGUUUGGUGGCUGUUGUUGAAUGCGCUUGUUGUUCCCUCAUGCAGCCACAGAACACAUUGGCAUUACAGGUAGGCUGUCUGACAGCUUCCUUUCAAAGCAUUGCCAAACCUGCUUCGUGGAUUAGUCAACAACUGUUUCCUGAAUUGUGCUUGCACCUGUUUCCUCUUCUUCUGGAAUACACAAUUUUAUCUGAAAAAAGCAUUGACAAAGGCCAAAGUUGCACCCCCAGCCUGGCCAACUGAUAUAAGGGAAAUCACAUUUUCUUGGUGUUUGUAGAAUGAAAGUAGCAGCUGUUACCAUGGGAAUAGUAAAUUUAUGAAAGAAGAAGUUUUGAGGAGGCUGAACAUUACCACUAAUCGAAGUGAUUGCAGUCAAGACAAAAGGUUAAUGUUCAAGAUCUGCUAAUUAGGAGAGAGCUACUUUUCUGGUGAUGAUCUGCUGACAGAAUAAAUAAACCAUAGAAAGUGCCAAGGCUGCACAGGCAUUUGCUGUGGUAUCACUCCCACAUGAGGAACCUUUGUCACAGUCUUUCUUCAAGUAUGUUCUCUCCUGUGGGUUCAUUAUUUUUCAGAGGAUGGGUCUUUCUGCCCUGCAGGGAUCUAUCUAUCACUGCUGACUCUCUGCAUCUUCUCCACAUGGAAGAAGUAAUUGGAUUGUAUUUUCUGCACACGACCAAGACAGCAGGGAAACCCACAGCUGUAAGACAGAGAACCAAGCUGUCUAGAGACAUGCCUAAUAAUGUCAUCACGACUAAGCACAUGAGGAGGAUGAGGUGUCCCAUAGCCAGCCGUGAAACAUGCCAAAGAUCAAAACCAAAAGUGACUGGACCUCAGACAAAGGAGGAGAAGGGAAGUUGUUGA